AUGAAACACUGGCUGACAAACAUCCUGAUUCUGACUCUCUGGAAAGAGUGUAAAGGAGAAGACAGAGUGAUCCAGCAUGGAGGAGAUGUUAUUGCUACUGAAGGAGAGUCACUUACACUUGAUUGUACAUUUGAAACCACCAGCAACAGCCCCUAUUUGUUCUGGUACAAACAAGAGGUGAAUGAUUUCCCCAAGUUUAUGCUGCAGCGCUACACCUUUGGAGAAGGAAAAAAUGCUGCAGAGUUCCCGAAAGAGAAAUUUGAUGCUCAAAUCAACGACACAUCAGUUCCUCUGAGGAUCCAGAAGCUGCAGCCGUCAGACUCUGCUCUGUACUACUGUGCUAACGAAGAUCCAAAAUGUGCCAAGAGCAGCAAAGUCACACAUCAGAACAGAUGA